rnacentral:tRNA from 1 species
GGUUGAGCUCAGCGGUUGAGUGUUCGCCUAGCAUGGGUGGGACCUGGGUUCGACUCUCAGCACCA